rnacentral:sRNA from 1 species
UUGAAAGACUGGAAGAAUAAUUUCUGCACUAGUAAAUCCAGAGAAUGAAUAUUAUAUUAGAAGCAAUAAUGCAACCUCCCUUAGAGUAUCCCAUCCACGUGUCUAAGUCCUGACCUGAAGGGGAAUACCUGCAGAGAUGGGAAAAGUUCAGUCUCAUUAAGCAUGCGCCUCU